UCUACGGGAGGCAGCAGUGGGGAAUAUUGCACAAUGGGCGCAAGCCUGAUGCAGCCAUGCCGCGUGUAUGAAGAAGGCCUUCGGGUUGUAAAGUACUUUCAGCGGGGAGGAAGGGAGUAAAGUUAAUACCUUUGCUCAUUGACGUUACCCGCAGAAGAAGCACCGGCUAACUCCGUGCCAGCAGCCGCGGUAAUA
rnacentral:rRNA from 1 species